rnacentral:tRNA from 1 species
AGCCGAUGUAGCUCAGGGGUAGAGCGCUUCCUUGGUAAGGAAGAGGUCACGAGUUCAAAUCUCGUCAUUGGCUCUUU